GAUGAACGCUGACAGAAUGCUUAACACAUGCAAGUCAACUGUGGCGGACGGGUGAGUAACGCGUAAAGAACUUGCCUCACAGAUAGGGACAACAUUUGGAAACGAAUGCUAAUACCUGAUACUGUGAGAGAGCUUUGCGUCCCAUUAGCUAGUUGGAGAGGUGACGGCUCACCAAGGCGAGGAUGGGUAGCCGGCCUGAGAGGGUGAUCGGCCACAAGGGGACUGAGACACGGCCCUUACUCCUACGGUAGGCAGCAGUGGGGAAUAUUGGACAGUUGACCGAAGUCUGAUCCAGCAAUUCGGGGUGCACGAUGAAUUUUUCGGAAUGUAAAGUGCUUUCAGUUGGGAAGCGGUACCAACAGAAGAAGUGACGGCUAAAUACGUGCCAGCAGCCGCGGUAAUAC
rnacentral:rRNA from 1 species